rnacentral:rRNA from 1 species
CCUACGGGAGGCAGCAGUGGGGAAUUUUCCGCAAUGGGCGGCAAGCCUGACGGAGCAAUACCGCGUGAGGGAGGAAGGCUCUUGGGUCGUAAACCUCUUUUCUCAGGGAAGAACACAAUGACGGUACCUGAGGAAUCAGCAUCGGCUAACUCCGUGCCAGCAGCCGCGGUAAUACGGAGGAUGCAAGCGUUAUCCGGAAUGAUUGGGCGUAAAGCGUCCGUAGGUGGUUUUGUAAGUCUGUGGUUAAAGCGCGAAGCUUAACUUCGUAAGGGCCAUGGAAACUACAUAACUUGAGUGAAGUAGGGGUAGAGGGAAUUCCCAGUGUAGCGGUGAAAUGCGUAGAGAUUGGGAAGACACCGGUGGCGAAAGCGGCUCUACUGGACUUAUACUGACACUGAGGGACGAAAGCUAGGGGAGCGAAAGGGAUUAGAUACCCCUGUAGUCCUAGCCGUAAACGAUGGAUACUAGGUGUUGCCCGUAUCGACCCGGGCAGUGCGUACGACUACGACGUUAGUAUCCGUCCGUCGGGAGGUACGCGACGCAGUGUGAACGACGAAGGAAGUAGAGGCGNGAGAGUGUCCGACGGCGACGACGAGGGGAGGUAGG